rnacentral:rRNA from 1 species
UACGUAGGGUGCAAGCGUUAAUCGGAAUUACUGGGCGUAAAGCGUGCGCAGGCGGUUUUGUAAGUCUGUCGUGAAAGCCCCGGGCUUAACCUGGGAAUUGCGAUGGAGACUGCAAGGCUUGAAUCUGGCAGAGGGGGGUGGAAUGCCACGUGUAGCAGUGAAAUGCGUAGAGAUGUGGCGGAACACCGAUGGCGAAGGCAGCCCCCUGGGUCAAGAUUGACGCUCAGGCACGAAAGCGUGGGGAGCAAACAGG